GUUAUAUGGUCAAGCGAAUAAGCGCACACGGUGGAUGCCUUGGCGGUCAGAGGCGAUGAAGGACGUGGCAGCCUGCGAAAAGUAUCGGGGAGCUGGCAACAAGCUUUGAUCCGGUAAUGUCCGAAUGGGGAAACCCACCCGCUUGCGGGUAUCCUGCAGUGAAUACAUAGCUGCUGGAAGCGAACCUGGUGAACUGAAAUAUCUAAGUAACCAGAGGAAAAAAAAAUCAACCGAGAUUCCGUAAGUAGCGACGAGCGAACGCGGACUAGCCCUUAAGCUGAUUUGGUUCUAGGAAAACGCUCUGGAAAGAGCGGCCAUAGAAGGUGAUAGCCCUGUAUCUGAAAGGGCCAUUUCAGUGAAGACGAGUAGGGCGGGGCACGUGAAACCCUGUCUGAACAUGGGGGGACCAUCCUCCAAGGCUAAAUACUACUGACCGACCGAUAGUGAACCAGUACCGUGAGGGAAAGGCGAAAAGAACCCCGGAGAGGGGAGUGAAAUAGAACCUGAAACCGUGUGCGUACAAGCAGUAGGAGCUCCGCAAGGAGUGACUGCGUACCUUUUGUAUAAUGGGUCAGCGACUUACUGUUCGUGGCAAGCUUAACCGUAUAGGGGAGGCGAAGGGAAACCGAGUCUGAUAAGGGCGCAUAGUCGCGGGCAGUAGACCCGAAACCGGGUGAUCUAGUCAUGCCCAGGGUGAAGGUGCGGUAACACGCACUGGAGGCCCGAACCCACUCCCUGCUGCAAAGGUAGGGGAUGAGGUGUGAUUAGGAGUGAAAAAGCUAAUCGAACCCGGAGAUAGCUGGUUCUCCUCGAAAGCUAUUUAGGUAGCGCCUCAUAUGUAUCCUCUCGGGGUAGAGCACUGUUAUGGCUAGGGUCAUCGCGACUUACCAAACCAUUGCAAACUCCGAAUACCGAGACGGACUGUAUGGGAGACACACGGCGGGUGCUAACGUCCGUCGUGAAAAGGGAAACAACCCAGACCCACAGCUAAGGUCCCAAAUUUUGUGCUAAGUGGAAAACCAUGUGGAAAGGCACAGACAGCCAGGAGGUUGGCUUAGAAGCAGCCACCCUUUAAAAAAAGCGUAAUAGCUCACUGGUCGAGUCGGUCUGCGGGGAAGAUUUAACAGGGCUAAGCACAGAACCGAAGCUUGGGGUGCAUAACUUUGUUAUGCGCGGUAGAGGAGCGUUCCGUAAGCCGUUGAAGGUGGAUUGAGAAGUCUGCUGGAGGUAUCGGAAGUGCGAAUGCUGACAUGAGUAACGAUAAUGCGGGUGAAAAAACCCGCGCCGAAAGCCCAAGUUUCCCUUGCGCAACGUUAAUCGGCGCAGGGUGAGUCGGCCCCUAAGGCGAGGACGAAAGUCGUAGUCGAUGGGAAGCAGGUUAAUAUUCCUGCACCUCGCGUAAAGUGCGAUGGAGGGACGGAGAAGGUUAGGUGUACCAGGCGUUGGUUGUCCUGGGGAAAGGCGGUAGGUUUGGAUCUUUGGCAAAUCCGGGAUCCUCUAAGACCGAGCACCGAGACGAGCCUUUAUGGCGAAGUCACUGAUACCACGCUUCCAGGAAAAGCUCCUAAGCUUCAGCUUACGCAGACCGUACCGUAAACCGACACAGGUGGGUGGGAUGAGAAUUCUCAGGCGCUUGAGAGAACUCGGGUGAAGGAACUAGGCAACAUGGCACCGUAACUUCGGGGAGAAGGUGCACCCUUUUUUUGGUGGCUCGUGCGAGCUAUAGCUGAAGAGGGUCGCAGUAACCAGGCCGCUGCGACUGUUUAUCAAAAACACAGCACUCUGCAAACACGAAAGUGGACGUAUAGGGUGUGACGCCUGCCCGGUGCUGGAAGGUUAAUUGAUGGGGUCAGCCGCAAGGCGAAGCUCUUGAUCGAAGCCCCAGUAAACGGCGGCCGUAACUAUAACGGUCCUAAGGUAGCGAAAUUCCUUGUCGGGUAAGUUCCGACCUGCACGAAUGGCGUAACGACAGCGGCGCUGUCUCCACCCGAGACUCAGUGAAAUUGAAAUCGCUGUGAAGAUGCAGCGUUCCCGUGGCAAGACGGAAAGACCCCGUGAACCUUUACUAUAGCUUUACACUGAACGUUGAGUUCGUCUGUGUAGGAUAGGUGGGAGGCUAUGAAACUGUGGCGCUAGCUGCAGUGGAGCCAUCCUUGAAAUACCACCCUGUCGUGCUUGACGUUCUAACCUGGGCCCAUUAUCUGGGUCGGGGACCGUGUAUGGUGGGUAGUUUGACUGGGGCGGUCUCCUCCUAAAGAGUAACGGAGGAGCUCGAAGGUACGCUCAGCGCGGUCGGACAUCGCGCACUGUGUGCAAAGGCAUAAGCGUGCUUGACUGCAAGAUCGACGGAUCAAGCAGGUAGGAAACUAGGACUUAGUGAUCCGGUGGUUCUGUAUGGAAGGGCCAUCGCUCAACGGAUAAAAGGUACUCCGGGGAUAACAGGCUGAUACCGCCCAAGAGUUCAUAUCGACGGCGGUGUUUGGCACCUCGAUGUCGGCUCAUCACAUCCUGGGGCUGUAGUCGGUCCCAAAGGGUAUGGCUGUUCGCCAUUUAAAGUGGUACGCGAGCUGGGUUCAGAACGUCGUGAGACAGUUCGGUCCCUAUCUGCCAUGGGCGUUGGAGAUUUGAGAGGGCUGCUCCUAGUACGAGAGGACCGGAGUGGACGAACCUCUGGUGUUCCGGUUGUCACGCCAGUGGCAUUGCCGGGUAGCUAUGUUCGGAAGCGAUAACCGCUGAAAGCAUCUAAGCGGGAAGCGCGCCUCAAGAUGAGAUCUCCCGGGGCACAAGCCCCCUGAAGGAACCAUGUAGACUACGUGGUUGAUAGGUCAGGUGUGUAAGUACAGCAAUGUAUUGAGCUAACUGAUACUAAUGAUCCGAGAGGCUUGACCAUAUAACCU
rnacentral:rRNA from 1 species